rnacentral:rRNA from 1 species
UUUCUUUUAGAGAAGAAGAAUUACGUGGUAUAGUAAUAUAAUAAUAUUUUUUAGGAGUGAUAGGCUUUCCAAGUAUGAUGAUAUCUUGAUAUGCAAAAAAAAUAUUAAGUAUUAAGAUAGAUUAUGAAAGUUAAGCUUCAUAAUUAAAAUUAAAUUUUUUUAAUAAUUUUAUUAUAGUUUAAUAGCUAAUAAGAAGUUUAAAUAAAAAUUAUUUUAUAAGAAUUAUUUAAAUAAUUGCAUUAUAUUGUUUGAUUUUAAUAUAAAUUAUGUUAGUAUUAGUAAUUAUCAUAAAUAAAUUAUAGGAACUCGGCAAAAUAUUUUUCACCUGUUUAUCAAAAACAUAACUAUAUGAUCUAAUAUAUAGCUAUUCCUGCUCAAUGAUAUAUUAAAUAGCCGCAGUACCCUGACUGUGCAAAGGUAGCAUAAUCAAUUGGCUUUUAAUUGGAGUCUUGUAUGAAUGGAAACAUGAAGAAUGACUGUCUUUAAUUUUUUUUUAUUAACUUAGUUUGUAAGUGAAAAUACUUACAUAUAUAUAUAGGACGAGAAGACCCUAGAAACUUAGCAAAUAUUUUGUUGGGGCGACAGAAUUACAAUAAACUAAUUUUACUAUACUGGACGUUAAAACAGCUAGAUAAAGUUACUCUAGGGAUAACAGCAUAAUUUUUAUAGUUUGUGACCUCGAUGUUGGACUAGGGAAUUUAUUGUUUAGAAGACAGUAAAGUAUGCUCUGUUCGAGCU